rnacentral:rRNA from 1 species
GCUCGAGUGGCAAACGGGUGAGUAACACGUGAGUAACCUGCCCUUGACUUUGGGAUAACUUCAGGAAACUGGGGCUAAUACCGGAUAGGAGCUCCUGCUGCAUGGUGGGGGUUGGAAAGUUUCGGCGGUUGGGGAUGGACUCGCGGCUUAUCAGCUUGUUGGUGGGGUAGUGGCUUACCAAGGCUUUGACGGGUAGCCGGCCUGAGAGGGUGACCGGCCACAUUGGGACUGAGAUACGGCCCAG